rnacentral:lncRNA from 1 species
ACUUUUCUUCCACGUCAUCAAUAACAGCGACAUGGAUUAUUUUAAUGUGUACAUGGUUAAUGGCUACAUAAGAGUUAUUAAUAUCAAACAAAAAAGGAAUCAAGAACAAUGACAAGAGGCGAUAAUUUCACAGAUUUUAUCAAUUAAAAGGACAAUACUUCCCCAUCCCACUGACAGGACAAAUGGGUGAGGAAACGAGGCGGGUCAUAUAAUAAACCGACGAUUUUAUUAUUUUUUGGGACAAAUUACAGUAAAUUCUCUAAUUUAUAAGGUCAUUUAUGAGUUUAUA